rnacentral:rRNA from 1 species
UACGUAGGGUGCGAGCGUUGUCCGGAAUUAUUGGGCGUAAAGGGCUCGUAGGCGGUCCGUCACGUCGGGAGUGAAAACUCAGGGCUCAACCCUGAGCGUGCUUCCGAUACGGGCGGACUAGAGGUAUGCAGGGGAGAACGGAAUUCCUGGUGUAGCGGUGGAAUGCGCAGAUAUCAGGAGGAACACCGGUGGCGAAGGCGGUUCUCUGGGCAGUACCUGACGCUGAGGAGCGAAAGCAUGGGGAGCGAACAGG